GCCUACGGGGGGCAGCAGUGAGGAAUAUUGGCCAAUGGUCGGGAGACUGAACCAGCCAAGCCGCGUGAGGGAUGAAGGUACAGAGUAUCGUAAACCUCUUUUGUCAGGGAACAAAGGCGGGGACGUGUCCCCGGAUGAGUGUACCUGAAGAAAAAGCAUCGGCUAACUCCGUGCCAGCAGCCGCGGUAAUACGGAGGAUGCGAGCGUUAUCCGGAUUUAUUGGGUUUAAAGGGUGCGCAGGCGGUCUGUUAAGUCAGCGGUCAAAGCCCGGGGCUCAACCCCGGCCCGCCGUUGAAACUGGCAGU
rnacentral:rRNA from 1 species